ACUAAUUACAACCAUUAGGGGCGGGUUUACCUGCCCUCUCGAUUGUCGAAGCUGCACGGACAGACUAUGCGUUGAGUGGCCGUUCCCCACUCAGCGUGAACAUUCGCACUUCACACAAUCUUCGAGGGUAGCGCUGCUACCCUUUUUUUCUGGA
rnacentral:sRNA from 1 species